CUACGGGAUGCACCAGUGAGGAAUAUUGCACAAUGGGGGGAACCCUGAUGCAGCAACGCCGCGUGGAGGAUGACGCAUUUCGGUGUGUAAACUCCUUCUAUAUGUCAAGAAAAUGACGGUAGCAUAUGAAUAAGCACCGGCUAACUCCGUGCCAGCAGCCGCGGUAAUACGGAGGGUGCAAGCGUUACUCGGAAUCACUGGGCGUAAAGGACGCGUAGGCGGGUUGGAAAGUCAGGUGUGAAAUCCUACAGCUUAACUGUAGAACUGCACUUGAAACUUCUAAUCUAGAGUAUGGGAGGGGAGAUGGAAUUAGUGGUGUAGGGGUAAAAUCCGUAGAUAUCACUAGGAAUACCUAAAGCGAAGGCGAUCUCCUGGAACAUUACUGACGCUAAGGCGUGAAAGCGUGGGGAGCAAACAGGAUUAGAUACCCCUGUAGUC
rnacentral:rRNA from 1 species